UUAAGUAGUGCACCCACUACAUUGAAAGAACUUGCAUCCAUCCCUGCCAGUUAUGACAUUUUUUUUAAAUACCCCCCUCAACUCCACCCUUCGAGGGAGGGGAGUUCACCCCAGGAAACUCCCCUGUAUUCGUGCCUACUAAUUUUUAUUAGUGCCAUAUGCUGAAACAUGCAUCGGAAUAUUUUAUUAUCUUAUUCAAGGUAUACGUACAUGCGUCUGAAAAUAUGUUGCCGAAUUCGAUGACGUAACACUCACCUGUUUCCCAUGACGACACGGUCUUGUUCACUUUAAUGAUUGGCUCAGCAACUUCUUCCGUGAGGACUCGGAAGUCUACGGUCCUAGUCAUGAGGUUGGACUUUAAUUUGCUGUAUGCGCUGAAGACGAAUCCCGAUGUUUUGAUGGAGACACGUUUGGUCUCGGCAUAACCCAGUUUGAUACUCUGUUCACCUACGUCCUCAAUGGCCGACAAUCCUGACCCUAUAUUGUAAAGAAUAGUUGUUAAAACUAGUGCUGUUCCGAUAAUCGAUUGUAAUCGAAAAUCGAUCAGGUGUGCCUCUAGUGAUGUGAUGAUCGAUUAUGAAGUCCAUAAUCGACUGUCUUCAAAAUGUAUAUUGUACUUAGGCCUAUUCCUUGUCUAGAUAAUUAAAUAUACGUGAAAUAUGACCAUAUCAUAAUAUAAUUUACUAAUGCAAAAUACAAUCAUAACUACCUUUUUAACAAAUUCGUGUUAUCGAGAUAUAUUAGCCCUAGCAAUAUAUUAAACGAUACACCCUAAAACUACACAAAAGUGUUGAAAACGGCAAACCGAGUGAAGGGUGCUCUGCAUGAACUUUUUCGCCAUUUUUGUGACUUUUCUUUACGCUUACCCUUGUGAACGAUUAGCACAUAGACUUGUUGUGCGUCUACAUUUCUUAGUAGACUGGAACCGGAAGUGAGCCCUGCGGCUGCCUCAAGACUUUGAUACAGUGGUUCCCAAGCCCGGUCUACAGGUGAGCCCAGAUCUCCGUUUGACGAAAUUGCCAGGAUGACGUCAUCAGGUAGGGCUAGGUGGUGCGACAACAACAACACAUUAAUAUACGUUUUAGACAAAAAUAAAUAAAUUAAUUAAUUAAAAAGAUCCCAGAUCUUAUUGCUUUAAUUGCUUGCUUUUAUUUAUAGAGCUGAGGAAAACCAAGGUUAUCCUGCAAAAACGUUCGACCUUCGUUUCUUUUACAAUUUAGAAGUCUCCACGCAAGCCAUUGGAGACGUUGCCAUUUCAAGAAAUUUGUUGCAGUAGAAAGAACAGAAAUAAUGUAUUCCAGACUUCUGAUUCUCCUUUUCCUGGUGGCUGCCGUGGUGGCUAUGGCCAACGCACGGUGUACUUGUGAAGACAACCUGCAGAAGACCACGCAGAUCUACCAACAGAUAAUCAACCAGCUGAUUCAAGGAAUGUCGCAGUUUGGAGGUGCACCAAUACAAAACGCCGGAAAAUAAAUUUUGGAGGAUUGGAUUUAUCACUGUGCAGAGAUGACAAAACGAAGGAGGACUUCAUAAAACUGACACAACUGCAUGUAAUAAACCUUAUCUACAGUA